rnacentral:rRNA from 1 species
AACGUAGGGGGCCAGCGUUGUUCGGAAUUACUGGGUGUAAAGGGUUCGUAGGCGGUGCGGCAAGUCGGGAGUGAAAUCUCUGGGCUUAACUCAGAGGCUGCUUUCGAAACUGCCGUGCUCGAGUGCGGGAGAGGCCAGUGGAAUUGCAGGUGUAGCGGUGAAAUGCGUAGAUAUCUGCAGGAACACCCGUGGCGAAGGCGGCUGGCUGGACCGCAACUGACGCUGAGGAACGAAAGCUAGGGGAGCAAACAGG